rnacentral:lncRNA from 1 species
UUUUGAUGCCUUGAUCUUCAUAUGGUUUUCUUGGGUAUUGCUUAUGCUUGUUGCUUGCUAAAAUCCAAAGGAAAAUGGGUUUCUAUAUGAAAUUCUUGUCUGUUGGAUUGCAUCCCAUUGGUCAGACCUUUUCAACCUUUAACUUUUAAUUUUUGUCUAGGAUAGUCCCUUCAUCUCCUCCCACUUCUUAAAUUUAAAAAUCUCUUCCUCUUUUC